AUUGAACGCUGGCGGAAUGCUUUACACAUGCAAGUCGAACGGCAGCACGGACUUCGGUCUGGUGGCGAGUGGCGAACGGGUGAGUAAUACAUCGGAACGUGCCCAGUCGUGGGGGAUAACGUAGCGAAAGCUACGCUAAUACCGCAUACGAUCUAAGGAUGAAAGCGGGGGAUCGCAAGACCUCGCGCGAUUGGAGCGGCCGAUGGCAGAUUAGGUAGUUGGUGGGGUAAAGGCUCACCAAGCCGACGAUCUGUAGCUGGUCUGAGAGGACGACCAGCCACACAGGGACUGAGACACGGCCCAGACUCCUACGGGGGGCAUCAUUGGGGAAGUUUGGAACAUGGGCGCAAGCCUGAUCCUGCCAUUCCUCGUGCAGGAUGCAGACCCUCGGGUUGUAAACUGCUUUUGUGCGGAACGAAAAGGCUCGGGUUAAUACCUGGGGCUCAUGACGGUACCGUAAGAAUAAGCACCGGCUAACUACGUGCCAGCAGCCGCGGUAA
rnacentral:rRNA from 1 species